rnacentral:rRNA from 1 species
UACGAAGGGGGGCUAGCGUUGCUCGGAAUCACUGGGCGUAAAGCGCACGUAGGCGGAUCUUUAAGUCAGGGGUGAAAUCCCAAGGCUCAACCUUGGAACUGCCCUUGAUACUGGGGGAUCUCGAGUCCGGAAGAGGUUGGUGGAACUCCGAGUGUAGAGGUGAAAUUCGUAGAUAUUCGGAAGAACACCAGUGGCGAAGGCGGCCAACUGGUCCGGCACUGACGCUGAGGUGCGAAAACGUGGGGAGCAA